GGGCCCUUAGCUCAGUCUGGUUUACAGCCCCCGGCUCAUACCAGCCUGCUCGUCCCGAGUGGCUGUGGGACACCGGGUGAUCGGUGGUUCAAAUCCGCCAGGGCCCA
rnacentral:tRNA from 1 species